AUGCCCGAUGAUUAUAACAAGACGCGUUAUUACGAGGACCAAUGCUGGAACUCUUCUUGCCUUCUAUCAGAACUUUCUCUCAUAUCUUUUUUCCCUCCCCUUAUCUUCUUUCCCACCCCUUCCCUUUGCCUUCCUCCUUGGAGUUGCCAGUGUCCUGUGAGCAAGAUUAUGAGAUAUGAGGGCAG